rnacentral:rRNA from 1 species
UACGUAGGGUGCGAGCGUUUGUCCGGAAUUAUUGGGCGUAAAGAGCUCGUAGGCGGUGUGUCGCGUCGGUCGUGAAAACUUUCAGCUUAACUGGGAGCUUGCGGUCGAUACGGGCAUCACUGGAGUUCGGCAGGGGAGACUGGAAUUCCUGGUGUAGCGGUGAAAUGCGCAGAUAUCAGGAGGAACACCGGUGGGCGAAGGCGGGGUCUCUGG